UACGGAAGGCAGCAGUGGGGAAUAUUGCACAAUGGGCGCAAGCCUGAUGCAGCCAUGCCGCGUGUAUGAAGAAGGCCUUCGGGCUGUAAAGUACUUUCAGUCGUGAGGAAGGUGUUAAGGUUAAUAACCUUAGCAAUUGACGUUAGCGACAGAAGAAGCACCGGCUAACUCCGUGCCAGCAGCCGCGGUAAUACGGAGGGUGCGAGCGUUAAUCGGAAUUACUGGGCGUAAAGAGCACGCAGGCGGUUAAUUAAGUUGGAUGUGAAAUCCCCGGGCUUAACCUGGGAAUGGCAUUCAAGACUGGUUAGCUAGAGUCUUGUAGAGGGGGUAGAAUUCCAUGUGUAGCGGUGAAAUGCGUAGAGAUGUGGAGGAAUACCGGUGGCGAAGGCGGCCCCUGGGACAAAGACUGACGCUCAUGUGCGAAAGCGUGGGGAGCAAACAGGGAUUAGAUAACC
rnacentral:rRNA from 1 species